rnacentral:rRNA from 1 species
UACAGAGGGUGCGAGCGUUAAUCGGAAUUACUGGGCGUAAAGCGCGCGUAGGCGGCUUUGCAAGUCGGGUGUGAAAUCCCCAGGCUUAACCUGGGAACUGCAUUCGAGACUGCAUUGCUAGAGUAUGGGAGAGGAAGGCGGAAUUCCCGGUGUAGCGGUGAAAUGCGUAGAUAUCGGGAGGAACAUCAGUGGCGAAGGCGGCCUUCUGGUCCAGUACUGACACUCAAGUGCGAAAGCGUGGGGAGCAAACAGG